GCGGCCGACAGUGACGUCACGCGGCGCGCCCGAGCCGAGUUGGUCCAGGUUUUCACGCCGGCCCUGGCUCACGCCGUCUACGUGCCGCUCUGCCAUCUCUUGGAGGCACUGUGCACUGCAGCUUCGUCCGAAGACAUUGAACUGAUUCGCGACCUCUGCGUUCUCCACCGCCAGAGGGCAGUCACCUUGCCGCGGGAUGUCACCAGUGGCCCAAACGCCAGUUUGCCGAUGGCCGGUAGUACGGGGUCCGGGUCAGGCCGGGACGGCACCGCCGCCGCCACCGCCAGUGGGGGCGGCGCCGGCGGCGCUGGCGGUGCCGGG